rnacentral:rRNA from 1 species
GGAUCAGUAUGUUGGUCAUGCCUUGGUAUGUACUGGUGUCACUGAUUCCUCCCUUCUGACGAACCUUCAUGCCAUUCACUUGGUGUGAUGGGAAAUCAGGACUGUUACUUUGAAAAAAUUAGAGUGUUUAAAGCAGGCUCACGCUUGAAUACAUUAGCAUGGAAUAAUAAAAUAGGACUU